rnacentral:rRNA from 1 species
GUCGAGAAUCUUUCACAAUGGGGGCAACCCUGAUGGAGCGACGCCGCGUGGAGGAUAAGGUCUUCGGAUUGUAAACUCCUGUCAUGCGUGAACAAGGUUGCUUGGAUAAUACCUGAGCAAAUUGAUGGUAGCGCAAGAGGAAGAGACGGCUAACUCUGUGCCAGCAGCCGCGGUAAUACAGAGGUCUCAAGCGUUGUUCGGAAUCACUGGGCGUAAAGGGUGCGUAGGUGGCGUGGCAAGUCAGAUGUGAAAGCCCGGGGCUCAACCUCGGAACUGCAUCCGAGACUGCCAUGCUAGAGUACUGGAGGGGUGACUAGAAUUCUCGGUGUAGCAGUGAAAUGCGUGGAUAUCGAGAGGAAUACCAAAGGCGUAGGCAGGUCACUGGACAGUUACUGACACUGAGGCACGAAGGCCAGGGGAGCGAACGGGAUUAGAAACCCCUGUAGUCC